rnacentral:rRNA from 1 species
UACAGAGGUCCCAAGCGUUGUUCGGAUUCACUGGGCGUAAGGGUGCGUAGGUGGUGGGGUAAGUCGGAUGUGAAAUCUCCGAGCUCAACUCGGAAACUGCAUUGGAAACUACCCUGCUAGAGGGUCGGAGGGGGGACUGGAAUACUUGGUGUAGCAGUGAAAUGCGUAGAUAUCAAGUGGAACACCAGUGGCGAAGGCGGUCCCCUGGGCCGGAACUGACGCUGAGGCGCGAAAGCGUGGGUAGCAAACGGG